UACAGAGGGGGCAAGCGUUGUUCGGAAUUACUGGGCGUAAAGGGCGCGUAGGCGGCCUUCUAAGUCGAACGUGAAAUCCCCGGGCUCAACCCGGGAACUGCGUCCGAUACUGGAAGGCUUGAAUCCGGGAGAGGGAUGUGGAAUUCCAGGUGUAGCGGUGAAAUGCGUAGAUAUCUGGAGGAACACCGGUGGCGAAGGCGGUUAGCU
rnacentral:rRNA from 1 species